rnacentral:rRNA from 1 species
AUUGCCCCAGUAACGGCGAGUGAAGCGGCAACAGCUCAAAUUUGAAAUCUGGCCCCCAGGGCCCGAGUUGUAAUUUGCAGAGGAUGCUUUGGGCGAGGUGCCUUCCGAGUUCCCUGGAACGGGACGCCAUAGAGGGUGAGAGCCCCGUCUGGUCGGACACCGAGCCUGUGUAAAGCUCCUUCGACGAGUCGAGUAGUUUGGGAAUGCUGCUCAAAAUGGGAGGUAUAUGUCUUCUAAAGCUAAAUAUUGGCCAGAGACCGAUAGCGCACAAGUAGAGUGAUCGAAAGAUGAAAAGCACUUUGAAAAGAGGGUUAAAAAGUACGUGAAAUUGUUGAAAGGGAAGCGCCUAUGACCAGACUUGGGCCCGGUGAAUCAUCCAGCGUUCUCGCUGGUGCACUUUGCCGGGCACAGGCCAGCAUCAGUUUGGCGCGGGGGACAAAGGCUUCGGGAAUGUAGCUCCCUCGGGAGUGUUAUAGCCCGCUGCGCAAUGCCCUGCGCCGGACUGAGGUACGCGCAUCGCAAGGAUGCUGGCGUAAUGGUCAUCAGCGACCCGUCUUGAAACACGGACCAAGGAGUCGUCUUCGUAUGCGAGUGUUCGGGUGUCAACCCCUACGCGUAAUGAAAGUGGACGCAGUGAGAGCUUCGGCGCAUCAUCGACCGAUCCUGAUGUUCUCGGAUAGAUUUGAGUAAGAGCAUACCGGGCCGGACCCGAAAGAAGGUGAACUAUGCCUGUAUAGGGUGAGGCCAGAGGAAACUCCUGUGGAGGCUCGCAGCGGUUCUGACGUGCGAAUCGAUCGUCAAAUAUGGGCAUGGGGGCGAAAGACUAAUCGAACCUUCUAGUAGCUGGUUUC